UGAUAGGUUGGGUGUGUAAGUGCUGUGAGGCAUUGAGCUAACCAAUACUAAUUGCUCGUGAGGCUUGACCAUAUAACACCAAAGUAGUU
rnacentral:rRNA from 1 species